GAAAACGACACGGGAGAGCGCGGGGUGCAAGCCCCGCCACCGAAGGAGCAACCGCCCCGGAAUCUCUCAGGUCAUCGGGACCGUGUCGUUAGU
rnacentral:ncRNA from 2 species